ACUGGUUUCACUCUGCACUUCUCCUGCAGCUAACACAGCAGAGCACCUCCCAGUGUUUCCCUCCAUCUAAGCAUCUUCAGUGAGAUACAUGUUCACGUCUCCAGUCCUUACUCUAAAACACUUUGUUACACUGAUUUAUGUGUGGUUGCUGGGUUUGUACACACAUCUGUGUACCACUUGCGUGUCUUAUAUCUUUAGAGGCAGAAGGCAUUAGAUUCCCCUGAAGUGGAAUUACACACCACUGUGAGCUCCUAUGUGGGUGUUAGAGAUUGAAUCUGGCUCCUCCUGAAGAGCAGUCAGUGUUCUACAGCCUGCGCCCUCUCUGCGCCCUCUCUGCAGACCAUGAUCAUUCUGGUUAAGUUGUUGCUUUCUAGGGUUUGGACAAUUUGAUCUUUCACUUCACACAAAUAUGUGAAAUCCUGUCAUCAUAUUCCACUUCCUGCUAUCUUUUUCUUUUUGAGACAGGGUCUCACUAUUUAGCCCUGCCUGGCUGGCCUGUAACUCACUAUGCAGCCCUUGAGUCUGCCCACGUGCUGGGAUCAGACAUGUGCACCUCUACCCGAGUCCUCUGACCCUUCUGACAGGGUCUUCUACAGGGCAAAGUGUUAAUGAAGUCUUUUCCAUUCUGGACCAUGUACUGGUGUCCAGAGGGUCUUCUGUCUGUCCUAAACACCCAAGAUUUUCUCUUAUACUUUCCCCCAACAAGUUCUAUGGUUUUGUGUUUUAUGCACAUUAAGUCUGUGAUCUUUCUAGAGUUCAACAUCUGGUGUGAGAUUAGGUUGAGGUUCGCUUGGCUGUCCGACUGCUCUAGCAUCAUUCCGUGCAAAGGACUAUCUUUCCUCCAAUCAGCUGCAUUUGCACCGUUUUGUCAAAAACCAGCAGGACUAGGAGAGGGUGAGGGUGGGGAGGCACGAGAGCACAGUGGCCUUGUGAUGUUCGAGGCUAAGCUGUGGGUGAGCAGUGAGGACGCAGCGGGACGGACCUGAGCGAUGCCUUGGGAAUCACUAGAACUACAGAUUUUGUCAUGCCAGGUCCCUACAGCAGUGGUUCUCAACCUUCCUAAUGCUGGGACCCUUUAACACAGUUCCUCGUGUUGUGCUGACCCCCACUACAAAAUGAUGUCCUUGCUACUUCCUAACUGUAAGUUUGCUACUAUUAUGAAUUGAAAUGUAAGUAUCUGAUACGUAACCUCACAGAGGUCAUGCCCCACAGGAUGAGAACCACUGACCUAGAGCUAACCUACUCACAGGACAGCAGCACCUCAAACUCACCUGUGGCUAUCAAUGGUUUGUGUGUGUUUUAUUGUAUGUUUGUUCUUUAGAGCCUUACAAAUUAGCGUAAGCUGACCAUGACUAUGCCAUCCCCUGGCCCGCUUCCAAAGUGCUGGGUUAUAGGCAGGCACACGACAGAUCAGAGUGCCUGAUUUGAGAAGUGCCCUUUUUUGUUUAUGUUUUGGAACAGGGUCUCACUCUGUAGCUCUGGCUGUCUUGAAACUCACUGCAUAGACCAGGUUGGCCUUGAACUUAUAGAAAUCUGCCUGCUUCUGCCUCCCAGUACUGGGAUUAAGGACAUACACCACCACCACCUAGCUCUAGCUAAUUAAUUUCUGAAUUACUUAUAUUUAUACGUGUAUUUAUUUAUUGAGAGGUGGAAGUAUAAGGUAGACAGGCAGGGCCUUCUCUAAUGAGUGUGCUUAUUCUUGUUAAGUUGGUUUUGUCUACAAGGCAGACUACAUUAACCAUGUCCUCAUUUUGUCUCUUAAUCACACCUCACUUCCGCUUUCUGCCAGGAGCUGAAGCAGUGUGAGACCUCAACAGAUGCAAACCUUCUUUAGCAGCUGAACCUUGAACCUCCCAGCCUUCAGAGACACACCAGAGGCGGGGCAGUGUGCUCAUGACUGGAUCAGGAAGAGCCAGGAAGAUGCUGCCCGAAGAGAAGACCUAGAUGCGCUAUCAGAGUCUGGAGCUCAUGCCGACACCCCAGCCUUGGAAGGCUGAGACAAUCUGCCAAGUGUGUGGGGUCAUGUUGGGACACAGGGUGAGAUCCUGUCUCGAAAAAAACAAAAAUCACCUCUUCCCCUUAAA